rnacentral:rRNA from 1 species
UACGAAGGGGGCUAGCGUUGCUCGGACUCACUGGGCGUAAAGCGCACGUAGGCGGGUCCUUAAGUCGGGGGUGAAAUCCUGGAGCUCAACUCCAGAACUGCCUUCGAUACUGGAAGACUUGAGUCCGGGAGAGGUGAGUGGAACUGCGAGUGUAGAGGUGAAAUUCGUAGAUAUUCGCAAGAACACCAGUGGCGAAGGCGGCUCACUGGCCCGGUACUGACGCUGAGGUGCGAAAGCGUGGGGAGCAAACAGG